rnacentral:lncRNA from 1 species
UUACAAUUGGAAGUUUGUAUGGUUUAUAGAAAGAUCAUGUGAUCUAUGAAUUAUAGAUGUCUGUCCUCUACCGGUGUUUGACAGCGGUGAUCUAUUAAGCAUCUUGAGCAUUUUUUUUUGGUCUCUUGAGUAAUGUUGUCAUACGGGGAGUUUCUAGACAUUAGACAAUACACAGUUAAAUUGAAAGAGUUUUACUCCUGAUAUGUAUGGAAGGCAAUGUCUGGCUCUUUACAGGUCAAGGAAUUUUCUGCUCGUACUGCUGGUGCGAACGAUCUUAGCUUUGACAUAGAGGUGAAUAUAUAGGAAGCUGUUCAGAACUUCAGAUGAUGGGUUUGUUAUAAUAACCGCCUUUUUACAGAUGAGAAAAUGAAGUUGGAGUAUCAUCAACUCUCUUUCUCAGUGUUUUGUAUAGAAUUGUGGCUUCAAAUCCAAAUCUUUUCUGAAUCUUGUGAAUCAUAAGUAUAGCAAUGAUUCUGAGUUGAUAUUUUUAACUUUGGGCUAUUUCGAUGCCAAAACUCUACCAUUGAUGAUUAAAGGGAUGAGUUUUAAGUCUUGAAUUGUGACUUAGAAACAUGGGAGCCAUUCUAAUGAGGACCUUUAAGUUGAGGAUUUUUCGGUUUAUAGUUUAAAAGACCUAUUUUUUUUUAUCACAUCUUGGAAUCUUAUCCGUUCAGUUUUUAGGUCUAUAUGUGUAGAUCAACCUUACAAAUUUUCAGUUAAAUCGGUGAUUGUUAAGGUAACAAAAUAGAUCAAAUUAAUGGACGAACCAAAUCUGUCAACAUAAACCGUUCAAGUUCAUAAUUGGUAAAUCACACUUAUGAAUGUCUUAAUGAUCUUCAAUAGGGUGCGUCUAUUGCCACCCCACAAACUACUUUGCUCACCCCACACUUUGUUGAUUUAUUAAAAGACUAAAAUACUCUGAUGUAAAAUUACAACAAGAGACAUUAAGUUGUUACAAAUUAUUAUUAUUUUAUCCUUUUGUUUUGGAUGAACACGUAUUUCAUAACUCCUAACCCAAAUUUAACAUAUUUGAUCGUUCUAUGGAGUUUGAAGAGACUAGCAUUCAAUCUAAAGAUGAGAUGAACUGUUUGUAUUUCUUUCUUUUUUUUUCUUCUCUUUUUUUCUUUGCUGAUGCUUCAUCUAUCUUUUUACUCAUUAUUUUCCAUGUUGAUUUUGUAUAUAAAUUCUCAUGGACAACUAUCGUAUUUAUGAACAACACUGAUCAGUUCAAAAAACUCAUAUUUAUGAACAACUAUCGUAUUUAUGAACAACACUGAUCAGUUCAAAAAACUCAGAAGUAUGGAGUUAUGGAAGAGAGAAUGUAGGUUGAACAAAAGGGAGUUGAGAAAAAUAUAUUUUAGGUAUUGUAUAUGGAUGAACAAAGUAGAAUUGAGAAAAUAGUAUUUUGGGUAUUGUAAAUGGGUGAACAAAGUAGAUUUACAAAUAAAAAUAUAUAAAUAGAGU